UAUCACUUCAUUUUACCCUGACAACUCUGGGAGAUAGGCAUUAUUAUUAGUUCCAUUUUACAGAUGAGGAAGGAAACUGAGGUUGGCAGAAGUUAAGUGACUUGACUAGCAUCACACAGCUAGAAAGUAUCUGAGGCUGGAUUAGAAUUCAGGUUUCUCUGCCUCUAAGAAAAAUACUACCCACUACACCACCUAGCUGCUUAUAUAUGCUCUAUAUUCUCUCUCUCUCUCUCUCUCUCUCUCUCUCUCUCUCUCUCUCUCUCUCUCUCUCUCUCUCUCUCUCUCUCUCUCUGUAUAUAUAUAUAUAUACUGAUUUUGGCAUGUGUCCAUGUGCUAAACUCUCCCCCCAUCUCUCUCUCUCUCUCUCUCUCUCUGUCUCUCUCUCUCUUUCUUUCUUUCUUUCUUUCUUUCUUUCUUUCUUUCUUUCUUUCUUUCUUUCUUUCUUUCUUUCUUUCUUUCUUUCUUUCUUUCUUUCUUUCUUUCUUUCUUCCUUCCUUCCUUCCUUCCUUCCUUCCUUCCUUCCUUCCUUCCUUCCUUCCUUCCUUCCUUCCUUCCUUCCUUUCCUCCUUUCUUUCCUCCUUUCUUUCGCAUUUCAAAAGAUUAUUUAAUUAAAAAACAAUCUUUGUGUAAAUGAUGGUAAGAUAAGGGGAUGGGGGAGUUUUCCAAUGGCACCUGAGAACUACAGUGAGCAUUAGGUUAAAACUGUCCUGAGAAGGUCAUGGAACUUGUAGAGUUGUAUAAGUGGGUGACAUCAGGGAGUAUCAAGCUGUAAUGGGUAAAGGGUAGGUGGUGUUAGGUUAGAGACAAUCUCCAGGACUGGCUAUGCUGGGAAGGGUAAAAUCUAGCUCUCUCUUCAAAUUACUUGGUUACACACCCCUUAGCAUCAAGACAUGGCCCCUCCUUUGGAAAUCACUAUUAUAGUAGAGGGCUGGACUUGGAGUCUGGAAGAUUGAACUAUCCAUUGUGCCUCAGACACUUAGUAAACUGUGUGACCUUAGGCAAGUCACUUAAUCUCCUCUGUGUCUUAGUUUUCUCAUUUGUAAAAUAAGGGCACUAACAGCACCUAUUUCACAUCGUUGUUGUAAGAAUCCAAUGAGAUAAUGUAUGUAAGGUGCUUAUAUACAUCCAAAUCUUAAAAUACUAUAGAAAUAUAAGUUACUAAUAAUAUUUUUAGAUUUCAAUAGCUUAUUGGGUUAAAAUUACUUUCUUUUUCAAGAAGCCAAGAACAUGAAAAAUAACACAUGAGAUCAUUCCAAUAAUCAGUCGAUCCAGUAGAGAUUGGCUCUCUGACCCUGACACUGAG
rnacentral:lncRNA from 1 species